CUAUGAUUAUGUGCCCAAUAGAACUCUUUAUUACCAUCUCCAUGGAAAAGGAAGAGCAGUAAUGCAAUGGACCAAGAGGGUUAAGGUCGUUGUUGGGACAGCUCGUGGAAUAGCAUACCUUCAUGAGGAUUGUAAUCCUCGGAUAAUUCACAGAGAUAUCAAGUCCUCAAACAUUUUAUUAGAUUACAACUUUGAGGCUAAGGUUGCCAUAUAUCUUGUUUGGUGCACUGAAACUGCCAGAACUUUGAAAUAGAACUAUCUACUUUGUCAUCAUAUGUUUUAAAUU